rnacentral:tRNA from 2 species
CCGAGCUUAGCUCAGUUGGGAGAGCGCCGGUUUGUAAGGGUUGGAAGCCUAUGAGAUUCCUCGAAAAAGUGCACCGUAGGUCGCCAGUUCGAUUCUGGCAGCUCGGA